GGGCCCGCACAAGCAGCGGAGCAUGUGGUUUAAUUCGAAGCAACGCGAAGGACCUUACCAGGGCUUGACAUCCAGUGAAUCGGUAAGAGAUUACCGAGUGACCCGUAAGGGUAACACUGAGACAGGUGGUGCAUGGUUGUCGUCAGCUCGUGUCGUGAGAUGUUGGGUUAAGUCCCGCAACGAGCGCAACCCUUGUUAUUAGUUGCUAACACGCAAUGGUGAGCACUCUAAUAAGACUGCCGUGGAUAACACGGAGGAAGGUGGGGAUGACGUCAAAUCAUCAUGCCCUUUAUGUCCUGGGCAACACACGUGCUACAAUGGCUGGUACAAAGAGACGCAAGCCCGUAAGGGGGAGCAAAUCUUUAAAAAACAGUCCCAGUUCGGAUUGAGGUCUGCAACUCGACCUCAUGAAGCUGGAGUUGCUAGUAAUCGCGAAUCAGCAUGUCGCGGUGAAUACGUUCCCGGGCCUU
rnacentral:rRNA from 1 species